AUAAAAAUAACCCUUUCUAUUCCCAGUUUUAAAUAGCGAUAGUUCUUUCAAGUUUUUGCCCUAUCAGCUUUCGAUGGUAGUGUAUUGGACUCCCACGGCAGUAACGGGUAACGAAGAAUUUGGGUUUGAUUUUGGAGAGGGAGCCCGAGAGAGGCCUCCCCCACCCAAGGAAGGCAGCAGGCGCGUAAAUUACCCAAUCCUGCCACAGGGGGGUAGUGGCAAUAAAUCACAAUACGGGGCUAUUUAGUCUUGCAAUUGGAAUGAGAACAAUGUACAAGAG
rnacentral:rRNA from 1 species